UUUUCUUCUCUUUUCUUCCUUUCUUUCUUCCUCCCCGAUCAGCCCCCCGCCGAUUUCUCUGCUGCUGCCGGUGCUUUCUCCGCCUGCGGUGCAACGGCCGACGACGGCGACGUGCGGUGGAGCUCUCCUUUUCUCCCUCUUUUCUUCUUUGCUUGCUCCUUUUUUUUUUAUUUUCAUGGGUAUUUUUCUUUGAUGAUUUUUUUGCUUGAUUUGCUUUCUUUGGUGGUAGUAGAUGGGAGUAUAACGGUGGUGGCGGUUUGACGACGCACGGUGGCGAUGAGGCUGCUGUUUUUGCUUGAUUUUUCUCUCAAAAAUUUUGUUAUUUUUUUUCUUUUUGCUUCCUUGCUUGGCUGCUGAAUUGGGGGUUUGAAAACCCUUUUAAAUUGUUGAUUUUUCUUCUUUUUUUGCAGGUAGCAAGUGGUUAGGGGAGAGAGAAGCCAUGCUUUAGGUCGGCUGUCGCAGUGUAG
rnacentral:lncRNA from 1 species